AACCCAUAGUGAGGGCACCGUCUCAAUAAGUCAUUAUACCUCUCCCAUGCAUCAUAUAGGGUUUCUAAGUCAAUCUGCACAAAGGAAGAGAUAUUAUUCCUUAACUU
rnacentral:snoRNA from 1 species